rnacentral:rRNA from 1 species
UACGUAGGGUGCGAGCGUUGUCCGGAAUUAUUGGGCGUAAAGAGCUUGUAGGCGGUCUGUCGCGUCUGCUGUGAAAAUCCGGGGCUCAACCCCGGACUUGCAGUGGGUACGGGCAGACUAGAGUGUGGUAGGGGAGACUGGAAUUCCUGGUGUAGCGGUGAAAUGCGCAGAUAUCAGGAGGAACACCGAUGGCGAAGGCAGGUCUCUGGGCCACUACUGACGCUGAGAAGCGAAAGCGUGGGGAGCGAACAGG